rnacentral:rRNA from 1 species
GCCCCGGUAAACGGCGGCCGUAACUAUAACGGUCCUAAGGUAGCGAAAUUCCUUGUCGGGUAAGUUCCGACCUGCACGAAUGGCGUAAUGAUGGCCAGGCUGUCUCCACCCGAGACUCAGUGAAAUUGAACUCGCUGUGAAGAUGCAGUGUACCCGCGGCAAGACGGAAAGACCCCGUGAACCUUUACUAUAGCUUGACACUGAACAUUGAGCCUUGAUGUGUAGGAUAGGUGGGAGGCUUUGAAGUGUGGACGCCAGUCUGCAUGGAGCCGACCUUGAAAUACCACCCUUUAAUGUUUGAUGUUCUAACGUUGGCCCGUAAUCCGGGUUGCGGACAGUGUCUGGUGGGUAGUUUGACUGGGGCGGUCUCCUCCUAAAGAGUAACGGAGGAGCACGAAGGUUGGCUAAUCCUGGUCGGACAUCAGGAGGUUAGUGCAAUGGCAUAAGCCAGCUUGACUGCGAGCGUGACGGCGCGAGCAGGUGCGAAAGCAGGUCAUAGUGAUCCGGUGGUUCUGAAUGGAAGGGCCAUCGCUCAACGGAUAAAAGGUACUCCGGGGAUAACAGGCUGAUACCGCCCAAGAGUUCAUAUCGACGGCGGUGUUUGGCACCUCGAUGUCGGCUCAUCACAUCCUGGGGCUGAAGUAGGUCCCAAGGGUAUGGCUGUUCGCCAUUUAAAGUGGUACGCGAGCUGGGUUUAGAACGUCGUGAGACAGUUCGGUCCCUAUCUGCCGUGGGCGCUGGAGAACUGAGGGGGGCUGCUCCUAGUACGAGAGGACCGGAGUGGACGCAUCACUGGUGUUCGGGUUGUCAUGCCAAUGGCACUGCCCGGUAGCUAAAUGCGGAAGAGAUAAGUGCUGAAAGCAUCUAAGCACGAAACUUGCCCCGAGAUGAGUUCUCCCUGACUCCUUGAGAGUCCUGAAGGAACGUUGAAGACGACGACGUUGAUAG